rnacentral:rRNA from 1 species
UACGAAGGGGGCUAGCGUUGCUCGGAAUUACUGGGCGUAAAGGGCGCGUAGGCGGCACUGUUAGUCAGGCGUGAAAGUCCUGGGCUCAACCUGGGAACUGCGCUUGAUACGGCAGAGCUAGAGGAUGGAAGAGGGUCGCGGAAUUCCCAGUGUAGAGGUGAAAUUCGUAGAUAUUGGGAAGAACGCCGGUGGCGAAGGCGGCGACCUGGUCCAUUACUGACGCUGAGGCGCGACAGCGUGGGGAGCAAACAGG